rnacentral:lncRNA from 1 species
UUGAAUAUCCCAGACCACCACUCCAAGGUGGUUUACCUUUGUAUCAGCCUGGUGGGAGCCUGGCUUCAUGGGGAUCUUCACCUCCAACAGCAAAUGGUUCCGGGCUUGGCAUGCCAAUGUAUUGGCAAGGUUUUUAUCCACCUUCUGGUGGUAUGCCCGGUGGAUUACCUGGUGGUAUGCCUGGUGGAUUACCUGGUGGUAUGCCCGGUGGAUUACCUGGUGGUAUGCCUGGCGGAUUGCCCGGUGGGAUUUCUCAUUUGCAGCCACCACCCCUUUUACGCCCACCACCUGGUCUGUCAAUGCCAUAUUCCAUGCAGCAGCCUUUUCAAUAUCCUGGAAUUAAUGCUUCUUUGCCUUCUGUACCUCAGAAUAUAUCUGGAUCAAAU